rnacentral:rRNA from 1 species
AUUAAACGCUGGCGGCAGGCCUAACACAUGCAAGUCGACCGAUUGGCGGACGGGUGAGUAUUGUCUGGGAAACUGCCUGAUGGAGGGGGAUAACUCCUGGAAACGGUAGCUAUUCCCGCAUACCAUCGGAUUUGCCCAGAUGGGUUUAGCUAGUAGGUGGGGUAAAGGCUCACCUAGGCGACGAUCCCUAGCUGGUCUGAGAGGAUGACCAGCAACACUGGAACGGAGACACGGUACAGACGCCUACGGGAGGCAGCAGUGGGGAAGAUUGCACAAUGGGCGCAAGCCUGAUGCAGCCAUGCCGCGUGUAUGAAGAAGGCCUUCGGGUUGUAAAGUACUUUCAGCGGGGAGGCGUUACCCGCAGAAGAAGCACAGGCUAACUCCGUGCCAGCAGCCGCGGUAAUUC